rnacentral:rRNA from 1 species
GUCUAUGGCCAUACCACCCUGAAUGUGCCCGAUCUUGUCUGAUCUUGGAAGCUAAGCAGGGUCGGACCUGGUUAGUACUUGGAUGGGAGAUUAUGUAUUGCUACCA